CCUUUACAUUCUUUAGCUAGAAAUGUGUUCUGUGAAAAUGCACGUUCUCAAAUAAACCUAUCACCUCUCCCCUUCCUAUACUUCCAUAUGAUUACUAUAAUAACAAGUCUCUACUCCAAACCCUACCUUAGCUAUCACUGCCUAUGGCGUACUGCCCUAAACCAUCAAACGUCACUCCAAUCAAGGUGUUAUGGUGCCUGGAGUAUUCCUUUAAGAGCUUGCUUUAUUAUGCCUGCUUUUUACGGUGUACUAAACAUUGCCUUUUUAGGAUUGCAUUGCUCUGUGUUAUU